rnacentral:rRNA from 1 species
AGUGAACGCUGGCGGUAGGCCUAACACAUGCAAGUCGAACGGCAGCACAGUAAGAGCUUGCUCUUACGGGUGGCGAGUGGCGGACGGGUGAGGAAUACAUCGGAAUCUACUUUUUCGUGGGGGAUAACGUAGGGAAACUUACGCUAAUACCGCAUACGACCUACGGGUGAAAGCAGGGGAUCUUCGGACCUUGCGCGAUUGAAUGAGCCGAUGUCGGAUUAGCUAGUUGGCGGGGUGAAGGCCCACCAAGGCGACGAUCCGUAGCUGGUCUGAGAGGAUGAUCAGCCACACUGGAACUGGGACACGGUCCAGACUCCUACGGGAGGCAGCAGUGGGGAAUAUUGGACAAUGGGCGCAAGCCUGAUCCAGCCAUACCGCGUGGGUGAAGAAGGCCUUCGGGUUGUAAAGCCCUUUUGUUGGGAAAGAAAAGCAGCAGGUUAAUACCCCGCUGUUCUGACGGUACCCAAAGAAUAAGCACCGGCUAACUUCGUG